GCCUCGAUAGUUUAGUGGCUAAAACACUUGCCUGUCGCGCAGGAGUCCCGGGUUCGAUUCCCGGUCGGGGCG
rnacentral:tRNA from 3 species